CGACCGUCCACAAUUCCACCGAGUACAGAGCAAACGCUCAUGGACAAAAAAAAUAUCUAUUUUAUUUCCAAAACGCACUUCUCCAAUUGAGCCCAGCUAUCCCCCUCACAUCCCCAUAACCAUCAUCAUAUUGUUUUGCGAACAACCACGGGGGGGAAUGUCCUUCGAUAAAAUCCACUGAUUACUCAUUUUAUCUUUAUGAUUAAUUAAUUAAUACCGAAUUUACUCGAGAGCGAAGACUGACGGAAUUGUUUAAUAUUGAUAAUUUUUCAGAGAGUUUUUUUUUGGUAAGUUAUUAUGGUGGUAAUACUAUGGAGCAAUCCGAUUAUUAUUGGUAACACCUGGAGGAAAUCACCGGGAAAUGACUCGUGAAUGAAGAUUUUUGAAGGAAUAUAUUUUGGGGAAAGGAACAUUCUUCUUUCAAUGAAAUGAAAUGAUUUCCCGUUUUGUUUCUCUCCAUUUGUUUUCUCUCGACAAUGGCCUCUGUUUCGUGACACAAAAGAUGCGUUUAGAGACUGGAGGUUUCACGGAAUGCGUCAUCCGGACGGAAUUCAACACCCAUCUCCUUCACGCUGGGACCACUCUCACUAACUCGAGGCCUAGACUAAACCAGGAGAAAGGGGGAAAACAGCGAGGACGAGCUAGAUUGUACUGAAUUUAACGGUUCAAGAUUCUACCCUGGUUGUAGACUCGCGGAAUGCCUCUGGGGAAGGCCAUUAUACGACGGCAUGGAAUUCACUCUGGUUUGACCACCCAGAAGGCCAUGAAGAGUCUCCGGACAUGCCACCCGCGCUAAACGAGUUGCCCAUCAAAUUAUUGAUGCUCGGAGAGUGAGUUCGACACCAUUUCAAUGGUUUAUUGUGGAUGGGCAGGGGGGUUAUGAGUAUUUCUGACGAGCGCAGUCGUGGGGUACUAAUAAUAUGUAAUCGAGUUAUGGUUUUUCGGAGGGCUAUUGCCGAUCGUAAAGAGAAGUUAUCGGGACUUCAGACAAAUCAGAUACUGGCAUUCAUAUACUGAGAAGAGAGGGGAAAAAUCCCGGCGAUUUUCAGUCGUAAAUUGCCAGUGGGUGGCUGACUAAUGGAUUGUAAUGCGAAACUACCAAGGAAUUUUUGUAAUCAUAAUGUUAGUGAAUGUGUAAGUGUCUUUCGUAGGGAGAAUUUUGCACUGUGGAAUCCAGUAUGUUUUAGACUGCGAUCUUUCAUAUUAAAUAAGCACGAAUGUUCAUCAAAUAAU